rnacentral:rRNA from 1 species
CUUGGUCAUUAGAGGAAGUAAAAGUCGUAACAAGGUCUCCGUUGGUGAACCAGCGGAGGGAUCAUUACCGAGUUUACAACUCCCAAACCCCUGUGAACAUACCAAUUGUUGCCUCGGCGGAUCAGCCCGCUCCCGGUAAAACGGGACGGCCCGCCAGAGGACCCCUAAACUCUGUUUCUAUAUGUAACUUCUGAGUAAAACCAUAAAUAAAUCAAAACUUUCAACAACGGAUCUCUUGGUUCUGGCAUCGAUGAAGAACGCAGCAAAAUGCGAUAAGUAAUGUGAAUUGCAGAAUUCAGUGAAUCAUCGAAUCUUUGAACGCACAUUGCGCCCGCCAGUAUUCUGGCGGGCAUGCCUGUUCGAGCGUCAUUUCAACCCUCAAGCCCAGCUUGGUGUUGGGACUCGCGAGUUAAACCGCGUUCCCCAAAUUGAUUGGCGGUCACGUCGAGCUUCCAUAGCGUAGUAGUAAAACCCUCGUUACUGGUAAUCGUCGCGGCCACGCCGUUAAACCCCAACUUCUGAAUGUUGACCUCGGAUCAGGUAGGAAUACCCGCUGAACUUAAGCAUAUCAAUAAGCGGAGG